CAGUUUCUCGGCUGAUAAGAUUGCUGCAUUACUGUUAUGAUGUUGUUAUUAAAACCGCGAGCUCAUUCGUCUUAACUCACCCAUAAACGAUUGCUUUAUAUAUCUUUUCUUUUGUGAUUUCUUGAACGUCACUUGUUUUAUAGAAUAGAUUUUAUAAUUUUAAUUUGACUAAAAUGUUUAAUUAAUAUAGUAUUUUUGAUAGUAAAUAGCUACGUUGAAAAAUGUUGAGUAUUGGUUUUAUAUGAAUAAAGAAAUUGCAACGGCUUCUGACUAAAGUGGAGUUUGCUGACGUAACCUGUAAUUCAACUCUAUUCUAUUCUCUAUACCUGUCAUAGACAUCUAGUAACAAUAUCAUCGUAAAUUUAGCACAGGAGUGAAAGGGACUCCCACAGCAACACCUGGAAAAGCGUUUUUUUUUUCAAACUAGUCUCUAAGUUCGUUAAUGACAUACAUAUAUGUACAUGUUUUUAAAUGUUAAGCAUUCCAUUUUCAUAUUCUGCUGCCGUAGUGAGGAUCUGAAAUACUAAUAAAAAGUAAGGCAUCUAGUAUGUA